AGAGUUUGAUCCUGGCUCAGAAUGAACGCUGGCGGCGUGCUUAACACAUGCAAGUCGCACGAGAACGCUUUAGCUUGCUAGAGCUAGUAAAGUGGCGCACGGGUGAGUAACGCGUGGGUAAUCUACCCCCGAAUUUGGGAUAACGUUGCGAAAGCGACGCUAAUACCGGAUGAUAUCUUAGUAACCUCGGUUAUUGAGAUCGAAGGUGGCCUCUACAUGUAAGCUACUGUUGGGGGAUGAGCCCGCGUACCAUUAGCUAGUUGGUAGGGUAAUGGCCUACCAAGGCGACGAUGGUUAGCUGGUCUGAGAGGAUGAUCAGCCACACUGGAACUGACACACGGUCCAGACUCCUACGGGAGGCAGCAGUGAGGAAUUUUGCGCAAUGGGGGCAACCCUGACGCAGCAACGCCGCGUGAGUGAUGAAGGCCCUUGGGUCGUAAAACUCUGUCAGCAGGAAAGAAGUUACAUGUGGUUAAUACCCAUGUGUAUUGACGGUACCUGCAAAGGAAGCACCGGCUAACUCCGUGCCAGCAGCCGCGGUAACACGGAGGGUGCAAGCGUUAUUCGGAAUUAUUGGGCGUAAAGGGCGCGUAGGCGGCCGAACAGGUCAGGUGUGAAAGCCCGGGGCUUAACCCCGGAAGUGCAUUUGAAACCUUUUGGCUUGAGUAUGGGAGAGGAGAGCGGAAUUCCUGGUGUAGAGGUGAAAUUCGUAGAUAUCAGGAGGAACACCGGUGGCGAAGGCGGCUCUCUGGACCAAUACUGACGCUGAGGCGCGAAGGCGUGGGUAGCAAACAGGAUUAGAUACCCUGGUAGUCC
rnacentral:rRNA from 1 species